rnacentral:tRNA from 1 species
AAUUUGAUAGCUUAAAGUUAAAGCGUUGAAAUUUUAAUUCAAAGAUGAAAAGACUCUCAAAUUA